GUUGUGGCUCAGCGGUAGAGCGCUCACCUAGCACAUGUGAGGCCCUGGGUUCGAUCCUCAGCAGC
rnacentral:tRNA from 1 species